ensembl:lncRNA
UGCAGGCUUGAUGUAUAGCCCAAAGACAGUUUUGGAGGGGACUGUAUUUAUUAGACAACCUACUUGUAAAAGUGCCAAAUCAGAAGUACAGAUUUAACUGUGAGAGGAAAAAGAAAACACAGUCUGAUGAUUUCACAGACACUCGUCAGUCAGAAUUAACCAAACAGAUGCUGAAAAACAACAAAGCCAUACUUAAGGAUGAAGAGUGGCAAGGACACAGAGAGACACAACUGUCACAGCAGGAGGAGGGACAGGUGUGUGAGGAUCCAAACACAAAUAAGGCUUCACCCAGCCUAUUAGAGUUCCAGAAUAGCACAACAGAACUUGGAUCUGCAAAGGGAUUACAAUCCAUGUCUGAUUGUGAAGAAGCCGAAUUCAGGCACAGUGUUUAUCAUGCAAGCACUGUGGAGGGAACUGACCGAUAUGAGGUAAAAGCAGAAAUUGGGCUGAAUCAGGAUGGACAGUCAUCAGAAGAGGAAGUGGAGGGGGACUGUGCAGAAAGUGAGAAUCACUCCAUCCUUCCAUCGUCUGUUCUCAGUAAAGCAAGUGUCAUUGCUGAACAUUUUAUUGCUAAUGCUCGCCGCAGUAGUGCAGCACCAGAUGAGCUUCGUCUCCUCAGCGAAUUCAACAGGAAGUAACAUCAA